AGAACGAACGCUGGCGGCAUGCCUAACACAUGCAAGUCGAACGAGACCUUUCGGGGUCUAGUGGCGCACGGGUGCGUAACGCGUGGGAAUCUGCCCUUGGGUUCGGAAUAACAGUGGGAAACUGCUGCUAAUACCGGAUGAUAUCGAAAGAUCAAAGAUUUAUCGCCCAGGGAUGAGCCCGCGUAGGAUUAGCUAGUUGGUGGGGUAAUGGCUCACCAAGGCGACGAUCCUUAGCUGGUCUGAGAGGAUGAUCAGCCACACUGGGACUGAGACACGGCCCAGACUCCUACGGGAGGCAGCAGUGGGGAAUAUUGGACAAUGGGCGAAAGCCUGAUCCAGCAAUGCCGCGUGAGUGAUGAAGGCCUUAGGGUUGUAAAGCUCUUUUACCAGGGAUGAUAAUGACAGUACCUGGAGAAUAAGCUCCGGCUAACUCCGUGCCAGCAGCCGC
rnacentral:rRNA from 1 species